UUUGGUGGCGAUAGCGAAGAGGUCACACCCGUUCCCAUACCGAACACGGAAGUUAAGCUCUUCAGCGCCGAUGGUAGUCGGGGGUUUCCCCCUGUGAGAGUAGAACGCCGCCAAGC
rnacentral:rRNA from 1 species